rfam:Pongo abelii chromosome 7.
AUUUUAAUGUAAGUAUGUUCCAUGCAAUAUUUGGGACAUACUUAUACUAAGC